AUUUAAGUGCUGACUGCCUUUGAGAAGGUUCUCUUUCUGGAGAUCACUCUUUGUGGAGUUUGCUGUGAGCCUACGACACCAAUGCGUUAAAUGAAAUGAGUCCCUGUGAGUUACCUGUAUCUCCUGGGGCUCGAGCUGGUGUGCUUUGCAUGGAGACAAGCUGCUGGGCUUCAGAGGAUGCUUUGCACCCUGGUGGACACAUUACUCCAGCUCUCCUCAUUUUGCAGGUAGCUGCAGAGACGCAUCCUAUACGUGUUCAGUGGAGCCAGUUGAAUUAUAUGUUUAGAGUAAUUCAUCAGAUAAAUUCACAUCCAUGAAUAAUCUGCAUUCAGAUCACGACCUUUACCAAGCUGUGCAUUUUCCGGGGCUCCAAGCUCUCAGCUGAUGCUGAGCAGUGACAAGAGGAGCACAGAGACAUUUUUCAUCAUCUCCUCCACUCCAGAAACAGUCUCACUUUAGGAGCAAGGCAGAAAAGCCUCAGUCCCAGGGGAUGCCCUAGGGAAUGUUCUGAAAUGGAAAGAAUGAUUUUUUUUUUUUUUUUUUGAGGAUGGGAGGCAGCUGCUCCCAGCCAGGGCGCUGCUGUUGCCUCUUGUCCAUAAGCCUGGGCUGCUGAGGAGCCACUGUCCAGAUGAUGGAUCGUUCUAGAGCGGUUAAAUUUUGUCUCUCCGUUGCUGGACUCUGGGAAAUGAGGCAGGGCGGUGCAUCCAGCUGAUGUAGGUCCACAUAUGUUCAUUCUCCAAAACAGCUGGCUGCUUAGCCUGGCACUAACCUGACGGGAAAGCACUACAGCAGCAGCUCGCUGAUGGCAGCUCUUGCUGUGAGAGCUGAACUCAUUUUGCACACCUUAGCGCAUUAGAGAGAAGAUACAAUUAAAAUAGUGUGUCAGGCACCGUGGGCA